rnacentral:rRNA from 1 species
UGAGGAAUAUUCCACAAUGGGCGCAAGCCUGAUGGAGCGACGCCGCGUGAGGGAUGAAGCCUUUCGGGGUGUAAACCUCUUUUGUAAGGGAUGACACACGCCCUGCCCGCAAGGGUAGAGCGCUAGGACAGUACCUUGCGAAUAAGCCUCGGCUAACUACGUGCCAGCAGCCGCGGUAAUACGUAGGAGGCGAGCGUUGUCCGGAUUUACUGGGCGUAAAGCGCGCGCAGGCGGCUAAUCAAGUACGAAGUGAAAUCUCCCUGCUCAACGGGGAGGGUGCUGCGUAAACUGAAGAGCUUGAGGACGGUAGAGGGGGGUGGAAUUGCUGGUGUAGCGGUGAAAUGCGUAGAGAUCAGCAGGAACACCCGUGGCGAAGGCGGCCCCCUGGGCCGAACCUGACGCUGAGGCGCGAAGGCUAGGGGAGCGAACGG